UCUCACAUGAUCCAUGCCUUAUACAUGAUAGACUAAUGAAAUAACAGCUCACAUAUAGGAUGAUAGUGAUAUCAAUUAGUUUAUUUAUAGGAUUACAGUGUUUUUUUGCCUCCACAUUGUUAAAUUCCUAGUCUCCCACGAGGCAUGUGUCCACCUGUAAAUUCAGUCAUUAAUUGUUUUCUUCGGUUGAAACAGUGUUAAAUGCGUCAAAGAAAUAAAUGACAAAGAAAAGGUGUGUACCGAUGCAUCAAGAAAUCUCCCUAAUUACGGCAAUGUAUAAAUUAGUGAAAACUUCUACGACAGACCACUGUGAAUGUGAUGCUCUAUCCAUUAAUAAUGAAGACUAUACUGACGUGUGCUGUGAUUUUGGUAUUAGCUGUGUGCUUUAGUCAAGGACGAAUAUUAGGAGAUCAGCAGCUGAACGUUGGCGGUGAUUUACUAAAACUACCCAGUGGUCAACAAAUGGAAGUCCCUUUCCGGAAAGGUGAUAUCACCCAAAAAAGAAUUGGAGGGGUAUACUAUACGGGUUUACGACGUAGGAGACCGUGUACAAAGAAAUACAGACUCCGGUGUGCUAUCCGAUCAAGAGGUGCACCCCACCCUUUAUAGAGAACCUUCCUGGAGGUCUAGAUCAACAGUUACCCUCCAUCCUUUAUAGAGAACCUUCCUGGAGGUUCUAUUUUCCUUUCCCUAACUGACUCAAAUAUUCCACAUUGAAAUAUACAGAUAUAAAUACCAGUGGCGAAUAUCAUGAACGAAAAACGAUUGUUCCAAUAUGUUUUGUUAUUUGUUAUGUCACUGUAUUAACUAUUGAUACCAUGGAAUUAAAUCUUCAUCUGUUUGUCUAGA